GGGCGAUUGGUUUAGGGGUAUAAUGUCUGCUUCGCACGAUCCUGAAUUCGUGAUUGCGGAAGGUCCAGGGUUCGAUUCCCUGAUCGUCCA
rnacentral:tRNA from 1 species